UCCUCUUCCGUAGGUUACAAAUAGUAAUAGAUCAGCCAAAAAAAACAGGGUUACUACACUUUUACUAUAAUAAAACCAUGGUUAAUUAAUAAGGGUCAGAAUACCACAGCAACCACAAAAAACAUAAAAAAAAAAAAACAUUCUGUUCUGACCACCCUAGCAACCUUACAGCAACACAUUAAAAACACGCAGAACACCCUACCAAAAUGCAAAAAUUUUCUCAGGACACUCUAGAAACUGUAUAUCAACAUGUUAAAACCACUUAGAACUCCACAGCAACAUUUUAAACACCUUUCAGUGCACCCUAGCAACCCUAUCGCUACAAUAGGAUGAACUCAAGAAAUCAGGUUAUUUUUGCGAUUCUGUUUGGUGGUACUAGUGGACCAGAAAUGACACACUGCACCUUUAAAUAUGUAAGGCACUUGUGAAUGGAGUCCACUGCUGAUAAGAUGGAUAAUUUAAAAGUGGUGAACUCGGGGGUCAUGGAUGAAAAUAAUGUGUGUGUAUGAAAUGUAGAGCUCUCGAGAAAUAUCUUUUGUCUAGCUCUAAAAAAGCUGCAGCUCAGUUACUGGGGAAGUGAAGCUAUGAAACAUACAAGAUUGAUUUGAGUGACUCACCGUAGCCGAGAACUGCUGUGCAACAAUUAUAGUUUUCAAUACCUGGCAAACAAUAGCUGUACAAAAAGGCUGAGAUCUCCAUUUUCAGUCUGAACAAGACAGAUGAAAUUGCUUUUUUAUCCAAGAGUCAAUGAGUGACAAGCGAAAGGAAUGUUUGCUGCUAUUACGAUACCAAAUUACAUCUUUCUGACUGUGGUAUCUUUAGCAGGCUUUCGACAAACCCUUCCCUGUGCGAAAUCGGAAUAUUCAUCCUGAUUUACAACAUGGCUCUCAACGGAUGCUUAUUCAAACACCCAUCAAUCAGAGAGCCUCCGUGUCACACGGUUAAUAUCACACAGCCAUCUGCACACCGACGUGCCCUGGGAAUGCGUGGACAGAGGCCCGAGUGACGGCCUUUUGCAAUGGCUGCUUCUUUCUCGAUCCACUCGUAUUGGCCAAGUCUCAUAAUGAGUUUCGAGUGAGUAGUGGUCAUGCAGAAGAUCGAUGGAAAAAGUGGCAAAAGGCUCGCGCAGGUGUCACAGCAAGGACACGAGGUGGAGGGAGAGCGAGCCGAGCCAAACUAAUAGGAUGAGCUCAACGAUCAGUCACAACCAGCUGUGGGAGUCCACUGAGCGGCUGCUGCUUAAACAGCCUAAUGGAGCCCAUUAAUAAAGACGGAGUGUGUGCCAGGAACCGCGUGCAGCCAGAAGAGGCGGCUAAACAAGCGGCCGUGGGGAGAGUGAAACCAGCGUUGAGGUGGUUGGGAGUGGUGGGAUGGAUGACGGCAGACUCCUGCGAGGGCUUGUGGAAACGCUGACAGUACACAUACACCAGGAACGACAGCAGACCAGCACCCAGGAAGCACGACACACCUGUAGCUAUCAGGUGAAGCAGAGUGAACCCUGGGAAAACAAGAGAAGGCAAUAUUAAGGGCUGAGGAUUGCAGUCCUGAAAUUCUACUGGAGAUCCCCGGCAGGCGGUGGGAACGCUUUUGCCCUCUGCGCUGGUGCAGGUGCGUUUGCGAGUACGGUAGCCUUUGGCACACUCCUGAGUGCAAGCUGACCACAUC